rnacentral:rRNA from 1 species
UGGAGAAUAUUGCACAAUGGGCGCAAGCCUGAUGCAGCGACGCCGCGUGAGGGAUGACGGCCUUCGGGUUGUAAACUCCUUUCGACCGAGAUGAAUUCCUGUCGACCUAAUACGUCGACAGGGUGACAGUAUCGAGGGAAGCAGCCCCGGCUAACUCCGUG